rnacentral:rRNA from 1 species
GAUUGAACGCUGGCGGCAUGCCUUACACAUGCAAGUCGGACGGCAGCGCGGGCUUCGGCCUGGCGGCGAGUGGCGAACGGGUGAGUAAUACAUCGGAACGUAUCCUGGAGUGGGGGAUAGCCCGGCGAAAGCCGGAUUAAUACCGCAUACGCUCUGAGGAGGAAAGCGGGGGACCUUCGGGCCUCGCGCUCAAGGGGCGGCCGAUGGCGGAUUAGGUAGUUGGUGGGGUAAAGGCCUACCAAGCCGACGAUCCGUAGCUGGUCUGAGAGGACGACCAGCCACACUGGGACUGAGACACGGCCCAGACUCCUACGGGAGGCAGCAGUGGGGAAUUUUGGACAAUGGGGGCAACCCUGAUCCAGCAAUGCCGCGUGUGUGAAGAAGGCCUUCG